rnacentral:lncRNA from 1 species
GUCAGAUGCCAGUAUGAUCAUGUGGCACAUGUAAAACUAUUUUUCACAGGGAACUCAAGAGCAAGAGUGACCCCCACCCCAAGAAACAAGUGUCCACAGGAAGGCUUCUUCCUAGAAGCAGGAAUGAAGACAGAGAAGCCCAGGGCAUCACUGACGUCACAAAAGUAAAAAUGUACCCGAGGAAGAAAAAGAGUAAGGAGGAGAAAUACACGAGAUAGGAAACCAAGGGGUCACUGCUGGGGAGGCGCCAUGACCCACGAGAGAAAGGUUACCGUGAGCCCCAGAAGGCAGAGGCAGGCUCUGCAGCCCCCCACUGGGGUGAAUGUUUUCAUGAAAUCACAGACCCCAUCUCAAAAGACACUUCAGGUUGUGUGCAUCCCACAUGUAACACUCAGUGGUAGAGAGAGCUUUGAAGAUGCAUGCGACCAGCCACAAAUCCCCAAAGCCCUUGCUGCCCUCUGUCCUCCCUGGAAGGUGAUCCACCACUUGGGACAACCCAUGCCGGCCUCUUCCAGCUGCGGUUCUCACCAUUGAGCUGUCGGUAACCCCCAAGUCCAUUUAGAGCAUUGAUUGUGACUGAUUCCAUGCCUUAAUUAAACAUGGAAAUGCGUCAUGAACUAUCAGAUCAGAAUGAACGUUUCCUGGGACCAAACUGAUUUCUUUGGACAGGAUAGAACAUGUUUUUAAGAAACUUCAAAAACUUCAAUGGCAUCAUAUAACUUCAGA